AUUGAACGCUGUCGGCAGGCUUAACACAUGCAAGUCGAGCGAGCGGCGGCCGUGUGAGUAAUGUCUUGGACCCUGCCUGAUGGAGAGUGCUCACUACUGGCAACGUUCGCUAAUACCGCAUACCAUCAGAUGUGCCCAGGUGGGAUUAGCUAGUGGGUGGGGUAAUGGCUCACCUAGGCGACGAUCCCUAGCUGGUCUGAGAGGAUGACCAGCCACACGGGAACUGAGACACGGUCCAGACUCCUACGGGAGGCAGCAGUGGGGAAUAUUGCACAAUGGGCGCAAGCCUGAGACAGCCAUGCCGCGUGUGUGAAGAAGGCCUUCGGGUUGUAAAGCACUUUCAGCGAGGAGGCGUUACUCGCAGAAGAAGCACCGGCUAACUCCGUGCCAGCAGCCGCGGUAAUAC
rnacentral:rRNA from 1 species